GCCCGUCCUUCAAAUAGUCCUUGGUCCUUGACUUACUUCCUCCUCGCUCCGUCUACGGGGUCUCGCUGCUGUUUUAUCAGCUUCUCGAUCUCGGCGCCCAAUGUCUGAAGGUUCUCCUGGAAAAUGAGAGGUCCUGAGCGUGUCCUCCAGCACCGCCUGCAGCUUCCUGUUGAUCUCCAGCGACAAGUCCAGCGUCAGCCCGCUGUCGGCCGGGUGGGACGUGUACAGCGACGCCAUGAUGCCCCCCCGUCGGCUGAUGUGGGCCUUGUUGAAGUCUGACGCCUCUGACGAGAGGGCCCCCGACUCUUCCCUUAGCACGUAGCUCUGGAUGAUUCUGCGCAGAGCAGGAAGACAAGACGGCUGCUUGAUGUGAUCCUCCAUGAACUCAAUUUUCUCCUGCUUGCGGGCCAGCGCCUUCUGCAGACGGACGAUGCGCUCCACCAGCACGGCCUUGUCCACCUCCGGGAAGCUGUCCACGACCACCACAGAGGGACCCGAGUGGCUCUCCGGCGAGCGCUCCUCAACUCCGCCCCCGUGGCGUGCGUUCAAGGACCCUGGUGAAAGAGCCAUUAACAGGACUGGUGAGAGUCAACUUUUCCAAGAAGCUGUUAGUGGGCCGCCGUAUCCACGACAACCUGCAGCUAAAUGAGAUGGAGGAAAAUUUAUUUGCUAUUUGCUCCGUUAAUUCAUGACAACCCCGCU